CGAGAGUGGAGAUCCGUCCCUUUAGCUCGGCGACUGUUAGGAUUAAGUGGAAGCACCUGUCCCCUCCGGAUGGAGAGGAGGUAUGCCAGUUAAAAUGCCACAAGAAUUCAGCAGAGUUUCCAGGGGAAGCGACUGAGGCAGGGCUCAGGGAUCUGGAGACUGGGAGGAGCUCCGGCAGCGACUGGGACUGCUCUCAGCAAAGAGAACGGCACAAAGUUUCCCCUGAGCACCGGACAUCCUUUCCUCCUCUUUUCCUAAAUGGCAUUUUGGAUCUGGUAGAAAUUACAGCUGGAGGAACUGACGUCAUGGAUCCAAGAGGGAGGUCAACGAGACUGCAAACAAACAGGAAAAUGGUCCUGAUGGAUGAAAAAACAACUCUGCCAACCUGAAGCGAAACGUUUGGGUUACCAGUACAAUGUUUGGCUUUUUUCAAUAAUUUUUUCUCAUAUUAUGAAAUCAAAUCCACAACUGAUUGAUGAUGCAUUUGCAGUCGUAACAGAAGCUCACGUGGUGACUUCUCUUUUCCCCUCCCAUGUGAACUUCAGCAGGAAGAAGGCAGAAAGCACGACCUACUACCAACUGUGUCCAAACACCUUAAAAAGAAAAGAUGAAGAUAAGAAACAGCUUAAAACCUCUGUCUGAGAACUCACCUGAGAAAAGGUGGGGCUGGUGUCAAUGCUGGAUGGCCCUUCUUCCUCUUUCUCCUUCUCCACGCUGGUGGAGACAUUGGAGGGCUUCGACAUCAGGCUGGAGGAGAA